rnacentral:lncRNA from 1 species
GUUGCAGGACAACAAAAUAAAGAUUUUUUACACAAGGCGUCCAAAAGAAGCCUUUGAGUCCAAGGAAGAGAAUCAUCAACUUGAAUGCCACAGGUCAUCCAACAUCCUGAAACAAGUUGGAAACAUGAUACUGAUCAGCUCAAAUAUAAAUUACGAACUCUAACCAGUUUCAUAAAAUCAUAGGGACUAGUCAAAAUUUUGCUGUAGUAUAAAUGAUCAAAAAUAGGCACUCCCAGUUGGGAAGAUCCAGCUUUCUUAUGGGAGUUAUGGAUUUGACUAGUUAGCACUCUUGGAGUGAGUUCUCCAAAUAUUUUUAGGCUUUUGAGAUUGGCAAUGGGAGGCUAUAGAUAUUUUGGUUGGAUAAAGAGUGUAGAUGACUCGAAAAUGUUUAGUCCAGUGGAACUGCUAAAAGAUUGGAAUAUAAGUUGUUUGGAGAAAUGUGAUGUAGAUCAAAUCUACAAACACGUAAUGAUAAUAACUCAAACAGAUUGAACUCAAGAAAAUCAACGUUUCUUCUUAUUUCAUGAACAAUAAAAAACCUACGAGGCGUUUUCAAAGCCUUAAAUAUGAAAAAAACAAAUAACCUAUUGGGCCAUGUCAUCAAAUAUCGGAUUCAAUAAUUCAAUUCGAUUCGGCAAGAAUAAUUCACGGAUCCAUCAAAUUCGAUAAUUCAACCGAUAUUUGAUUGUUAAAUCCACAUUCGAUUUUCCAUUUCAUCGAAUAUUGGAUUCAAUAAUUCAAUUCGAAAUAUUUUAAACAUAUUCUUCUUUUAUUGGAAAGGGGACUCUCAAUCUCAAUACAAAUUUUAUUAUAAUAUAUAUUAAUUUUAUAAAAAUUUGAUAGGUUCUUUAUUAAAAGUCAUAAAGUAUGAUACAAAUUUCAAAAUGAAAAAAAUUGUGUAAUAAAUUAUGCAGUAAUAUAUAAAAUAUAUUAUAUUAUUAUGACAAAUCGGAUUAGAUUGACCUAUAUUCAUAUUUGCUCCAUUUAGUUAGCGAUUAAGUUAUCGGACUGAGACUCUAAAUCCUUCUCCCACUAAUUUCAUCGGAUUUUAAUCAAAGUUCAAUCCAUUAAGAGUCCUAGUACUAAAUAAGAGUUUUUAUAGAAAUUCAUUCGAUGGUGAUGAUGGAGUUUAUGUUUCAACGCGAACGUUAUUUAUACAUCUUUCAUUGGACUGUGACAUUCUAAUGAAGUGUCGAGUUAUAACUCAUCCAAACUUGUAAUCUGAUUUGGCGACGAGUUGGCCUUUUGUUUAUUCUUUAAAAAGACUUGGAAAAUUACAUAUUUGAAUUGUGACAUUUCAAUUAUUGAAAUGAAAAAUCAUUUUCAUAUAUUGUUCAAUAGAUGUGUGCACCCUUUCUGUCACCUAAAAGGCACUGAUAUUAUAUUUCUUGUAGGGCUAAAGUUUAGAAGUAAGUAAAUUUUUAUUUUCAACUAUAUUGGAUAUGUUAUUUCAUUCUCGUUAUAAGUAGAGAAGUUAUUUCUUUUGGAAAAUUAGUGUUAAAUAGGUAAACUAUUUAUAAAUAUUUAUUUUAAGCUUAGUUAAAUAUUUACAUCAGUGAUCCUUUUAUAUUUGAAAUGAUGUGUCCUCAAAAUUUUUAUCUUAAAUUAUAAUUUUCUUGUACUUAUAAAGGCUUUUUCCUACAAUCCAAACAAAAAAAUUGAGUCGGUUGUCAAAUUUUAAGAUUAAUUAAUCCCUGUUUGGUGCGUCUUCUUGGACAAAUCUAUUAGAUUUCGAUAGAUUUGUGAAUUAAAGAAAACAAAUAGGACCCACAUGACUGUUGUAUAUAAUUAUUUUAUUUUAUUUUAUUUAUUUAUUUAUUUAUUUAUUAUUAUUAUUAUUAUUAUUAUUAUUAUUAUUAUUAUUAUUAUUAUUAUUAUUAUUUGUCCCUGAUACACAUCAUCUUAACAAGUCUUUAAAAUUAUAAAUACGAAAUUAUAUAGACACCAAAUUGGAACUGUUAAAAUAAUAAUUAAAAAAACUCUCCAGUCUCGACACUUUCAAUAGUAUAAAAUUGCUUUCAAGUUAAUUAAAUGUAAAACCUUUGCUGAUUUUCUCUUCAUUGGUUCAACUACAACACAGUGGUUGAUUAUGCUAACCUAGAAUUUUUCUACGUUGUCCAAAAACCAAAGAAUAAUAUAUAUUUAAUUUUUUAGACCAAAAACCAAAAAUAAUAUAUUUAUUAUUUUAUACAUUUCUGGUUGACUAAUACCUAGCAAAUAAGUAUUAUAUGCUAGGGAGGGAGCAAUAUUUAGCUCCCAUUUGACAACCAUUAUUUUCAAAAAAUUUUAUAACUUGUUUUCAAUCACACAUUGAUGGAAUAAAUAUUCUGCACGUAAAUCCUUUUUUUUUCCUUUUACUGUUUAACUACACAUUUUCCUAAAAAUUAUUAUUCAAAAUUCUAUUUUUCUGAAAUAAUGGUUGUCCAACAAGGUUAAGUUAGAAACAUAUUAUCUUGUAGCGUAUGUUCAGAACGUUAUUCACUUAGCAAAGAAUUAUGUUUAUCAUGUAAGGACAAAACAUAUACAUCCGAAACAUGCUUUAAAAUGGUGUAAAAAUUGUCUCUUCUCAUGUUGUUUCCAGUGUUGGAUUAUAUCCUACUCAUGCUUAGUUGAUAUGAUACAGUUAGAUGUCUAAACAGGAAUAACAAAUCAUAAAUGUGACCUUUACAGGGGAUAUGUACUGGCAACACGAUAGAUGCACGCUGUGGAUUUAGCAAAAUUCUAACACAUCAACUUGAGUGCAGCUUAUAAGAUUUUGGUUUGUGUACAAAGAAAAAUAAAAGUGUUAUUCAACUGGACAAUGCUAUUUUGACCAAAAAAUAAGAACAAUCAUUUUCCAUCUCGAUCUUAAAAUAGCCAUGUGAAAUGAAAUUCCAUAAACUAUAAAUGCGACUGCAACAACCACAUUCUUACGCAAAUCACAUUCUCUAACAUCUUAAUAGUUAGUUGCAACUUGCAUGGUAUACAAUCCAACUCAAAUGAAGAGAGUCCUACAUUCAUUUUCUUAACCCGGGAUGCAUGUUUGCGUGUGCUUAUUCUACUUACGAGGAGACUGAGCUUUUACAGUUACAGAGGUAUGCAAAAAAUCCUUGCACUUCUUUCGAAAUAGCUUCUACUAUGUUUAUCGUCAUUCACCAACAGAAGAUUUCCACUUUACAGUUGCAGGACAACAAAAUAAAGAUUUUUUUACACAAGUCGUUCAAAAGAAGCCAUUGAGUCCAAGGAAGAGAAUCAUCAACUUGAAUGCUACAGGUCAUCCAACAUCCUGAAACAAGUUGGAAACAUGAUACUGAUCAGCUCAAAUAUAAAAUACGAACUCUGACCAGUUCCAUAAAUGAAAUAAAAUCAUAGACUAGUCAAAAUUUUGCUCUAGAAUAAAUGAUAAAAAAUAGACACUCCCAAAACAGGCAGUUGGGAAGAUCCAGCUUUCUUAUGGGAGUUAUG